CGGACGGGUGAGUAAUGUCUGGGAAACUGCCCGAUGGAGGGGGAUAACUACUGGAAACGGUAGCUAAUACCGCAUAACGUCGCAAGACCAAAGAGGGGGACCUUCGGGCCUCUUGCCAUCGGAUGUGCCCAGAUGGGAUUAGCUUGUAGGUAAGGUAACGGCUUACCUAGGCGACGAUCCCUAGCUGGUCUGAGAGGAUGAUCAGCCACACUGGGACUGAGACACGGUCCAG
rnacentral:rRNA from 1 species